CCGGAGAUUCAACAGUUUUUUCUUGAAGCUAAUUAAAAUGGAAGUAGGCAAGAGUGGAGAUGUUACAGAGGAAGUCGUCGAUAGAGACAGAGCCCAGGACGUUGCCUCUCGAUCAAAUAGAAAAUGCCCGAGAGGAGGCAUUGUGUGUGAUAAAGACAAAGACCUUCCAGGAAGCACUGGAUAUUUUCACAAAGGAGACGCAAGAGCACUACAAGAAAGAUGUGUAUCCUCCGAUGAAAUUUACCGAGAAUCUUUUUUGUUAGAAAAAACCUGAUAGAUUAUUGAGAAUUUUCCGAGAAUUACAAAAUUUUGUUACAAUCUCAUCGGAAAGUUCCGACAUAAAGGUUUUGUCGGUAGUCUCUUGGAACGAGUUGUCGUAAAUUUCUCGGGAAGUUUAUAUACCGACAAAUAAAAUUAUUCUCGGUAAAUAAUCGGAAAAGUAGACAAGAAUUCGUCGGAAGUCUCACGAUAAGUGUGUGGCGCCUUUCUACAGUGGCUACCUACAGAAUAUCAAUAUAUUUUUAACAUUUCUAUUAAUUUUAAAAUAACUUUUAUUAAUUUGAUCGAAAAUAAAUGUUUUAUACCUUCUCUCCCCUUCUUCGAUCCAUUAUCUUUCUUCAAGUUCUUUUAAUUUUACUUUCUUCCUUUUCUCUUCUUUAUCCUGUAAUCUUCUUCCUUAGUUUCUUUAAACCAGUCAUAAUUUGGUUGUAUUCCCUUCUAUCUUAUUUCUUUUUCGUCGCAACUCCUUAUUUAGAUCUAUUUUUUUCUCAACUUCUAGGAAUUUUUUUUUUUUGUCACAAACUUCUUUGUGAUUUCAGUCUCUGUUUUCAAGACCUUAAGAGCAGCAAGAAGAAAAGUCAUAAGAAAGCCCAUGGGGUCCUCAACUUUCUUCUUAGAAGCAAAGAUAAGUCCAUUUUGUUUUUGCCUUUUGUUUUCUUUGCCUCAGUCCUUUUCAUCUUCUCUUUUGUUCAUCUUCUUCUCAAUCUUCUCAUUUCUCUGUUUCUUCAUGUAGAUCUGUUUUAUAUUUUCAGAUUCUUUUUGGAUAAGUCAACCGUCGAUGAUGUUUACCAGAACCGCCGUUUGGGCCAACAGUUUCUCCGUUCACUAAAACUGCCGUUUGUGCCACCGACACCUCUUUCCACCGCCGGAGCUUCAGAUUUUUGUUUAAAAUUUUUAUUUGUUUAUUUUAGUGAAUAUUUGAUAAUUUUAAUAUUAUUAUCUUUAUUUGCA